GGGUUGUGAGGUUAAGCGACUAAGCGUACACGGUGGAUGCCCUGGCAGUCAGAGGCGAUGAAGGACGUGCUAAUCUGCGAAAAGCGCCGGCGAGGUGAUAUGAACCUUUGACCCGGCGAUGUCCGAAUGGGGAAACCCAGUGCAAUCCGUUGCACUAUCGUUAACUGAAUACAUAGGUUAACGAGGCGAACCGGGGGAACUGAAACAUCUAAGUACCCCGAGGAAAAGAAAUCAACCGAGAUUCCCCCAGUAGCGGCGAGCGAACGGGGAGCAGCCCGGAGUCUGAAUCAGCUUGUGUGUUAGUGGAACGGUCUGGAAAGUCCGGCGAUACAGGGUGAUAGCCCCGUACACGAAAGCACACAUGCUGUGAACUCGAAGAGUAGGGCGGGACACGUGGUAUCCUGUCUGAAUAUGGGGGGACCAUCCUCCAAGGCUAAAUACUCCUGACUGACCGAUAGUGAACCAGUACCGUGAGGGAAAGGCGAAAAGAACCCCGGCGAGGGGAGUGAAAAAGAACCUGAAACCGUGUACGUACAAGCAGUGGGAGCCUCUUUAUGGGGUGACUGCGUACCUUUUGUAUAAUGGGUCAGCGACUUAUAUUCUGUAGCAAGGUUAACCGUAUAGGGGAGCCGAAGGGAAACCGAGUCUUAACUGGGCGUUAAGUUGCAGGGUAUAGACCCGAAACCCGGUGAUCUAGCCAUGGGCAGGUUGAAGGUUGGGUAACACUAACUGGAGGACCGAACCGACUAAUGUUGAAAAAUUAGCGGAUGACCUGUGGCUGGGGGUGAAAGGCCAAUCAAACCGGGAGAUAGCUGGUUCUCCCCGAAAGCUAUUUAGGUAGCGCCUCGUGAACUCAUCUUCGGGGGUAGAGCACUGUUUCGGCUAGGGGGCCAUCCCGGCUUACCAACCCGAUGCAAACUACGAAUACCGAAGAAUGUUAUCACGGGAGACACACGGCGGGUGCUAACGUCCGUCGUGAAGAGGGAAACAACCCAGACCGCCAGCUAAGGUCCCAAAGUCAUGGUUAAGUGGGAAACGAUGUGGGAAGGCACAGACAGCCAGGAUGUUGGCUUAGAAGCAGCCAUCAUUUAAAGAAAGCGUAAUAGCUCACUGGUCGAGUCGGCCUGCGCGGAAGAUGUAACGGGGCUAAACCAUGCACCGAAGCUGCGGCAGCGACGCUUAGGCGUUGUUGGGUAGGGGAGCGUUCUGUAAGCCGUUGAAGGUGUCCUGUGAGGGGUGCUGGAGGUAUCAGAAGUGCGAAUGCUGACAUAAGUAACGAUAAAGCGGGUGAAAAGCCCGCUCGCCGGAAGACCAAGGGUUCCUGUCCAACGUUAAUCGGGGCAGGGUGAGUCGACUCCUAAGGCGAGGCCGAAAGGCGUAGUCGAUGGGAAACAGGUUAAUAUUCCUGUACUUGGUGUUACUGCGAAGGGGGGACGGAGAAGGCUAUGUCAGCCGGGCGACGGUUGUCCCGGUUUAAGCAUGUAGGCGGAGGUUCCAGGUAAAUCCGGUACCUUAUUAACGCUGAGGUGUGAUGACGAGGCACUACGGUGCUGAAGUGAUAAAUGCCCUGCUUCCAGGAAAAGCCUCUAAGCAUCAGGUAACACGAAAUCGUACCCCAAACCGACACAGGUGGUCAGGUAGAGAAUACCAAGGCGCUUGAGAGAACUCGGGUGAAGGAACUAGGCAAAAUGGUGCCGUAACUUCGGGAGAAGGCACGCUGAUGGGUAGGUGAAGCCCCUGCGGGCGGAGCUGAAAUCAGUCGAAGAUACCAGCUGGCUGCAACUGUUUAUUAAAAACACAGCACUGUGCAAACACGAAAGUGGACGUAUACGGUGUGACGCCUGCCCGGUGCCGGAAGGUUAAUUGAUGGGGUUAGCGGCAACGCGAAGCUCUUGAUCGAAGCCCCGGUAAACGGCGGCCGUAACUAUAACGGUCCUAAGGUAGCGAAAUUCCUUGUCGGGUAAGUUCCGACCUGCACGAAUGGCGUAAUGAUGGCCAGGCUGUCUCCACCCGAGACUCAGUGAAAUUGAACUCGCUGUGAAGAUGCAGUGUACCCGCGGCAAGACGGAAAGACCCCGUGAACCUUUACUAUAGCUUGACACUGAACACUGGUCCUUGAUGUGUAGGAUAGGUGGGAGGCUUUGAAGCGUGGACGCCAGUCUGCGUGGAGCCAACCUUGAAAUACCACCCUUUAAUGGCUGGUGUUCUAACGUAGACCCGUAAUCCGGGUUGCGGACAGUGUCUGGUGGGUAGUUUGACUGGGGCGGUCUCCUCCCAAAGAGUAACGGAGGAGCACGAAGGUUGGCUAAUCCUGGUCGGACAUCAGGAGGUUAGUGCAAUGGCAUAAGCCAGCUUGACUGCGAGCGUGACGGCGCGAGCAGGUGCGAAAGCAGGUCAUAGUGAUCCGGUGGUUCUGAAUGGAAGGGCCAUCGCUCAACGGAUAAAAGGUACUCCGGGGAUAACAGGCUGAUACCGCCCAAGAGUUCAUAUCGACGGCGGUGUUUGGCACCUCGAUGUCGGCUCAUCACAUCCUGGGGCUGAAGUAGGUCCCAAGGGUAUGGCUGUUCGCCAUUUAAAGUGGUACGCGAGCUGGGUUUAGAACGUCGUGAGACAGUUCGGUCCCUAUCUGCCGUGGGCGCUGGAGAAUUGAGGGGGGCUGCUCCUAGUACGAGAGGACCGGAGUGGACGCAUCACUGGUGUUCGGGUUGUCAUGCCAAUGGCACUGCCCGGUAGCUAAAUGCGGAAAAGAUAAGUGCUGAAAGCAUCUAAGCACGAAACUUGCCCCGAGAUGAGUUCUCCCUGAGACCUUGAGUCUCCUGAAGGAACGUUGAAGACGACGACGUUGAUAGGUCGGGUGUGUAAGCGCAGCGAUGCGUUGAGCUAACCGAUACUAAUGAACCGUGAGGCUUAACCUUACAACGCCGAAGCUGUU
rnacentral:rRNA from 1 species